UCUGCCUUUGCGACCCUGGAGCCAGCGUGGUUUGGGGAUGCUGAAGAAGCCACAGGCAGCCGGCCUGGACUGGAAUCACUGAAAAGACACCCCAGAAGACCUCAGGGUGUAAAAGAACUGCCCUCCCAAGAGAGGAAGCAAGUUGGAGAUUGCACAGCGCCUUCUCUGAACGUUAUACACAGACGUGGCCAGUCUGGACAUACGUGUGUGUGUGGACGGAACUGAGCCUCUCAUUCAUAAUUCCUCAAAGUGGAAGCCAUCGCGUGUGAUGAAGCUGUAAGGUCGAAUUGGGAUCCUUCUGUCCCGUCCCUUGUAGUGAUCACCGUGUGUUUGAAAGCAGAAGUUAGAAGUAAAAGGCAAUCAAAAGUCUGGAAAAGUUAAUUGUGUCCCUUUUUAAGUAAGAAUCUUUAAGCUGUGGAUAGCUUUGGAUUUGGAAGCAAGCCAGAAAGCAUCUGUAUUAAUGCAAUUUUCUAACUAAUAAGGUAGAAGCCACUGAAACCUGGGCUGCCUAUGAAACAAAUACAAGGAAAUAUGGGGUAAUUCCUCUGUUUUGUCUAAAAUCAACAAGAGUAUGUGUAUAUAAAGGAAUUAUUUUAAGCAAUGACUGACUACCCAGAAGGGUAGACCUCUGUUCUUUUGUCUUUCAGAUCAUCAGAGAAAACGGAUGCCAGCUGAACAGCAUUCAAUGUACCAUGCAUUUACUGGUACAAUAGGAAUUAUUUUUGUGUUCUAUGUCCUAUCUUGUGGGGUUUGUCUUGUGGCCAGAAUUGUUGUUAAAUAUUUUCAUAAGACAGUCUAAUUCAAAAUUAAAUAGAAGGGUUAAAUCAAAAAGCAGAUACUUGUUUUAUUCAACUUGGAAUACAAAGUGUUUGGAUAAAUCAGGAAAAUGUGAUUAUACUAAAGUCUAAUACAUUUGCUUAAGUAAGAAAAAGAAAUUUCAUUGGCCAGAUUUUUUUAAUUGAAAAAUUGUUGUUAAAAUUUGCAUACCAACAAUCUUUGGAAGCAAGGACAUGGAAGGUUAACCCACUCCCAUAUUGCUCAUGGGAUCCUUCUGGCUACCUCAGAUUUCUAGCCAGAUGGUGGGAAGGGAGGAAAGCUAUUGGACACCAGAGGUUGUACUGAGUGGACUCCUCAAAAGUGGGUGUGCUUGUCCUGGUUUGUUGCUCCAAAGCUCUGUAAUAAAGUUAUUUUACAGGAAGGGUGUACAUGGCAUACACUGAAUAAUAAGACUAAUGUACUGUAUAAUGUCAAUGUGUAUGUGUUCAUUAUUGGGAAAAGGUGUAUGAGUGAAAAGUGGAAGUUUCCUUUGUAGGUUAAAAGAAGCCAAGAAGGGAAAAAGGAAAAAGAACAGAAUGAGUUAACUGAAAAAAAAUAGCUAGCAAGCUCAGUCCAAAGAUAAGACACUGGCCCAAUCCAAGGACACUCCUACAGCUAAGACUUGGCUGACAGCCAAGAAAAGGGGGGCCUGAAUAUGCCCAAGCAACUAUGAGAUCUGCAAAACACUGCCAGGCAUUAAUGAAAUGUGUUAGGUUUCUUUUCUCACAGAUAAAAGAAGUGCUACCCAAAGACCCUAGCAGCCUUGCCAUUCAUUGAAACAAGGAGACUGAGUCUAUGUAAAGUCCAUCAACGAAAGACUGCUUUGGCUCCACACUGGAAAGGCCCUUUCCAAGUCCUGUUAACCACCAACACCACUGUGAAGUGCCAAGGACUACCUGCCUGGACCCAUGCUUCUCACUGUAAAAAGACCCCUCCACCUUGAACUCUCCGACUGAUGAUAAGCCUAUUUCUCCUUCUAGCUCUGCUGUGCCUUCUGGACAGCAGGAAAAAAAAAAGACAAGGUGAAGUGCUGGUAACCUCUCCCUUGUCCACUGACAGACCUACUGUGCCUUUGGAUUUUUCUAGAAGAAGCAAAACCAUUACAGGGUGAUGUGCUAGUAACCUGUGCCCUGUAUGAUGCUAAACCACACUGUUUCAGGAAAAGGAACACUUGCUUCAUUGAAACCACAAAGUCCAGGGAUUCCUGACUACAAGAGACAUUAAGAACUGGCCCUGGUGAAGAAACAAAGAAUUAUACACUGUCAGGAAGAAACUUGUGGGACCCAUGCUUGGGAACGUGGUAUUGAUUGGAUUUUGGGGUUUAUUCUACAGGCUGCGCCCUGUGUUUUGGAUAUGUCCUUCAGCAUGUAUUGCCCUCCCUAAUUGGAUUUUAAAUAAGUACCAAAGGCACCUUGUUGCCAUUGCCCCUGCCAUCUCCUCCAUUACACUAUUACCCCUGUAACACAUCCAAAUACAGACAAUGCCAUAUAUUUGAUAAAACCAGUGACUAAGGCCUUCACACUUUAGCAAUUUAUUUAAAUAUUGUUUGAAAAAAUAUUUUUAAGGUUCAGGAUAUCCCAUAUAAGUGAACAAUUGAAUGGAUCAGUGGAGAUAAAAGUAUAUGAUAUCACUACCAGUGAACCCCAAGAAUCUGUAAUUGCAAUUAAUGGGUUCUAUAGCGAAUGUUCCUGGAAUUUGCACUGUGUUAAAUGAGAGAGGCCCUUAUUGUUAUUCGGUCACCCAAUUAGUGAACAAUUAAAUGAAUACCCAGAGUUUGUUUUGCCACUGGAAAUUUUACCUGCAUAGAAAUUAUUCCAGUGACUAAUAAUGUGACCUGUACCUUACUGCAAUACACCCCUUCUUAUGCCAUUAAUAUCAGUGCCUCCCGGAAGUACUGAAGGUGUUCAACCAACAGAUGUGGUAUAGUACUACACCAAAGAGAGAUGUAUUAGGAUAUCAAUGGACUGUGAUUAACACUACACUAGGGACUGUUAAAUUUUCAUUGCCCUUAUCCAGUUUCCAGAUUACCUCUACAUACCCAAAUUGCUCACAGGGGCGCUGCCAUUAGAUUAGCACAACAGAGGACUUGGGUUAUUUCUUCUAGAAAGAAGAGAGACUUGACCGGAUCCCUAUGGGAUGGGGCCAAUAGUGCAGCAGCAGUUUGGAAUAUUUUUAAGAACCAAGAACAUGAUGAGAAAUUGGGACAACUAGAGAAGGCCAUUGGCCUUGUUUCUGGAGCACAACUAACCCAGGUACAGGCUGGAGUUGGUGAGUUACAUGUUAUUUCCGCCCUUAGUUCUAUGACCCAGAAGUUGCUGACAGAGAUGGUAUUGAAUAUCACUGAGGCUGGGAAGGCAUUCAGUGGGACCUAGCAUGUUCAGAAAUUCAGGAUUUCCUGAAUGACCAGCUAAUGGCCAUUCGGAAUUAUCUAGAGCAUCAGGCUUGGCCCACUGCCCUUACAGACACAUCAGGAGUACCAUCUGAUCUGUGGCCAUGGAGACAUGCUUGGAGACUUUCUGGGUGGAAGUGCAGAUGUUCUCAGUGCUCGUUCCAAGCAUAUGAACCGGUUCGGGGUUGUGGGCUCCCACAUACCCGAAUACUGCCGGGUCCAUGGGGAGGAUGCAUGUGGGAUUGGGUAAUUCACCGAGACAUCUGGGAAAUUAGACCUCCUGGUAUGCCCAAUCGAUUUUUAUUCAGUGCUCCUGGGAUUACAUCUGACAUUUGGAUGGGGUUAGGGAGUCAAUGGACGUUAGAACCCCCACAGCUUCAGUGUAUCCAUAAACUGAAGCCAGGAGUAGUUGUUACUCUUCAUGACUACGUUUGCUGGGAGGGUAGAGGACAAGGAACUACCCUAACAGGACACUUACUUUUUUCAAGCUAAUGAUAGCUGUGUGUAUGUUAAAGCCACCACAUUGCAAAACAUACAUUUUAAUCUCAUUACCACUGCAGGCAAUCAUAUUAUUUACUGGCCUGCAGAUAGAAUUUUGCAAGUAUUCCUUAGGUUCCAGAUACCCUUUAAUUGGACUAGUUUAGUACCUGAUCGAUUUAAAAAUUUGCUUUCACUGUUACCAGAGGUUCAGAAAAUCUCUGAAAUACAAGGGCAAAUUCACAUGCUUCAAUAUAUAUAUAUCAAGUUGAAAAGUAAGCCUUUCAUACAGCUUGUAGAGUGUCCACCUUAUGUACUAAGUAUGAUGUAUUGUGUUUUAUGACUAAGACUGUACAACAACCCCAUCAUAUUAUUGCUAUGGGAAUGUUAUUGCUUGUGUUGUUGUUAGGAGUAUGUUAUUGUUGUUAUAAAGAACGUAAUAAUAGUAAUACCUUUCAUUUCCAUGCUCAUCAUGCAUUGUCAUUACAUCCAAUCAAAACCCUUAAGGUUGAAGCAUCUGAUGUAGAAUCUGAAUUCCAAGACUUAAUGCAAAUAGAGAUUUGAAAAUGUUUGUUGUACUAGUAGUACAAAAGGGGGGGUGUGGAAGCAGAGAAAGAACUGACAGGAAGGGAAUGCAAUGCAUAACAGUUCGUUAGCAAGUUAGGCAAACUGUAACCCUAAUAACGCGAGAUUUAUAGAAGCGAGGAAUGUGUGAGGCAAGUGGGGAAAAAACUGUGUGAGAAGUUAUUGUGACCUUGCGUAGAUAAUAUGGAAUGUAGACUAAGAGUCUACAUUAAGUGAGCAAAACAAGAUAUCAGAAUGACCUAUGUAUAAACAAAAUGCAGCUGUUGCUCAUUAUUGUCUGUAACAAAAGGUAUAAAUGCUUGCUGUAAUUGUUUACCUGUUGAGAGACCUUUUUAGCUCUCUCCCUCUGUGCAAUUGAUAGAGAGAAAAUAAAGUAUCUGAUUUGCUGUACCCAAACAAUAAGUGAGAACUCUAUUAUUCUCC